CGUUCGUCGCGGGGGCGGUUCGGGUUCGUCUCGUCCCGGCCUUACAGCUCCCGCCAUCGAGCGUGCCGGGCGCGUUCGCUUUAAAGCGCUCCUUCUGCAGCGAGUGCGUGCGGUACCGCAGCGGCAAGCGGUGCUUCUGGUCAGCCCUGCGCCUCGGUUUUGUGCGGGGCGAGCUGGGUAAACCGGCUGCGCCUAUUGAAAAGCCCUCUGCGUUUUAGUCUCUUGUUGAAACUUCACCAAGUGACCGGCAAAUGCGUUUCCGUGCUGCUGCUACAGAUCAGCACAUCCUCUUGCCACGUUGCUGCUAGAUCCCUUGCCCAGCUGAUGGUGUGGUCUCAAAAACAGUUGUGAUGGCCCAGGGCCCGGAGCAAGCAGCCGGCUGGGAGACGGGCUGGUGACUUCUGAUACAACCAGACACUUAAGGGAAGGAUUCAUAAAGAGAAGCCUGGAAAGACUAAAGCUGCAAGAACAGGAGUUGAAAAAAAGGAAAGAGAAAAAAAAAAAGGGGAGGGAAAAGAGAAGAGGGUUGAAAGGUGAGGCUGUACUUUAGAGAAUGUCCAUCAGCUGUUUCUUCAGAUUUGUUACACUAUUUCAUACCAAGUGGCAUCCAAGAAGGGAGUUGUCAACUGUAAAAACCCAGGCUUUGAGGAAACGGGAAUCCAAGAACUUGAACCAAUCCUUAUAGUUUUUAAUUUGUGUUACUGUGGGAAAGAAAAGCAACCUAACUCAGUGUGUAAGGCAUCAGAUGGAGUCAGUUAUGAGAAAGUGGUUGGACUAGAGACAUUCUGAGGUA
rnacentral:lncRNA from 1 species